CAGCAUGCAAGUAACCAGGAGCUGCAGCUCAGUGGCUAUUACUGAACCCAUCACAUCAAUCUCGCUUAGAACAACUACAACAAUGCCUUCUGCAUGCCAUGGAACAAGUAAAUAAAUAAUGAUCUGCUUGGCUCUUGAUACACACAAAAGAACCCUGUUGAAUAUGGGUGCCAAAUCCUGGCCCGGCCUCUAUCCGUCACAGCUGCCCUGGUAUUAAUGUCUCAGUUGCUGUGCCUCUAAUCUAAACUCCCUCCAGAUAAAACAGCCAUGUAAAAAGAAGGGACACGGUUCAGUUUUCAGCUCCGCCUUGAACAACGCUGCUCAGUGAGGAAGCUAAAUUAUUUCUGUGUUCAUCUGUGAAGAGGUCAAUUGUGCUAAUUACUGCGGAGAGAAUAAAGGGAAGGGGAAAUAAAAGGUGAGGCUAAACGAUUUGCAUGGACCCAGUUUGUCAAUAUGUAUCAUACCAGGUGAGUCUGAGUUAAAUACUGAAUUUUGAUGGGCAGGGACACCGAGCAGACCUUUAGGAGACGGGAAUAAGAGGUAAAUUGCUUUUGGGACCUCUCCAGUGAAACCAGACGCACAGUCCCUGUCACACUCACAGGAAGCUAAGUGAAUUAGCAGUGGCCAUUAGACACUUAAUAAUUGAAAUGUUUUAAUAACGGCACGAAGGGAGUCACUUUAACUGCAUUAACAUUACAUGAUCAUUGUCUCAUUAACAGAGUGAAACCAGCGGCCUCCGAGAUGAGAUUUACAUCUGCCCGGUCGUUGACACAAAGGACAACUGUCUUGACAGUGUAGGUAUGAAGAGCUGAAUUUACUCAAGUCAGGAGCUACGGCAGAGUUAUAACUUAACUGUUCCAGUCCAUAAAUUCUGAACCUGAGCCGUGUAGACAGUGUAGGCUCAUGUUGGGUUGAUGGUCUUGUUGACUGAAUCUUUCCUGUCAGGAGAAUCCAGAUAAUUUUAAUGAAUUAAAUAAGUGGGCUGUUACAUUUUAAUUUAAUUUUAUUUUUUUUAUUAUUUUUUAAAUGAUUUUUUAGCCAUUUAUCAAAAAAUACAACAGUUAAAGUAUACCCCCACAGUGGGAUAAACAAAGGAUUAUCUUAUUUUAUUUUAUGUGCUGACUCAGAUUUCAUGUGAGGGCUUUCACAUCCAUACUGGAAUAAAGGAAUUAGAUCUACUUAAUACACAGUCUCUUGUUUCCAGCACAAAUUAACUAACAAUAAUGAUGAUGUACAUUUUUAGUAGUUUAGCAGGAAAUUUGUGUGGUUCCUUUUGUAUGGUGCCUUUUUUUUUUUUUGUCUGCCUUCAGUUUUGCCUUGCCCUCAGCAAGUCUAAUUGUUUAUAUGGCCACUCAUGUUUCUGACAGUUUUGUUUUACAGGUUUAAGAGGCCUCGUUCACUUCCUCUAUUGAGUCCAUAUUGUGGUUUCACAGAAACAGUUUCCAAACGCAAAUGCCACACGAUUAGCAAAUAACACGUAACUGUGUAAAAAUAAUAUUUAUGAUUCCUACAUUUUUCUCUGUCUUUUAAUGUGAAUACCCUCAAUUUAAAACUUAGAAUCUGUACUAUAUAAGGCUAUAUUCAUCAUAUCACUAUAAGUCAAAAGUGUUUUAAUGAAAAGCAACAUUUACAAAAAAAAAAACUGUCAGUGUAUGGACAUGGAUAUAUGGACAUAACUGUAUGGCUUCAGUAUUGAAUGAAUGAAUGAAUGAAAGCUUUAUUUCAAAUAUAGACAGUAUAUAAAGAUGGAUGACACAUCUCCAGAUCCAGUUGGAGGAUCUGAGUACAAAAGUGAAGCCAAAAUACUGCAGAAAUGGGCUUUGCUGUUGUGUGCUGGUGACAGUCUCAGACUAAGUUUAUGACCUGCAAUGAGCCACUGCAGGCGACUGAAAGAAGAGACUUUACUUCUGCAGAGCUUUCAUCUGUCGUAAUGUACUGCAGUGUCAAUGUUUAAAUUGCAUAACAUUUCUAGAGGAAGUAGUGGUGGCUGUUAAGCCCCGAAAGGUACCGGUUGUUUUUUGUUAGACGCAACCAUGAUGCAACUGUUGAGGAUGAAGUUUGCUGCCUGUCAAUAAUAUGUAAUGAAAGAUUAUUGCAAUUCUUGCCACAGGUUUAAAAUGGCGGUUUCUUAUAUAAAAUUGUUACAGCUCCCCGCUUUGAAAAAAAAAAAAAAAAAACUCACUGCCUGUUUGCAUCAAUUGUCUGAGUCCAAUAUAUUUCCAAAUAUCGAAAAUAAUUAGGUGAAAACAUCAGAAUUAUGAUGAGAAGUUUGCAUAAUUUAAAAUAAUAAUAUUAACCACACAUUUGUAGCAAAUCAUAAAAUAAUAAUUAAAAAAAAUUGAAUUUAGAUUGACCUGACCAUGAGCUGGUAAACAGUUUCCAUGGGCAGUUGAUUUGGUAUUAACAAGCAGCAGAACCAAAAGAUGAGGAUGGACGAUGGAGUAAAAAAACAAAAACAAAAAAAAAAAAGACGGAACAGUCGGCUGACAUUAAGUAUUAUGCACACUCUGCAGGAAGGAGUUUUCUUUUGACCGAAGCACUUCCAGCAUAAAAUGCCACAUUAACGCGAAGUCUACGUUACCUGCAAUUUAUAUUCAUGCGUUAAUGCCUAAGCAGAGCCUAUGUGGACCUCACUCCCCAGCUGAUGUGCACCUCCUCAGAAAUGUAACUACACACUGCAACGACACAGAACGCAAGAGCUGUUAUUUGUCUUAGUUGCUGCGUAUUUCCUCUUUAGUAUUUGUGCCUGCUUCUCCAUCUCCAUGAUUUUGGAAUGGACUGUUUUGGAUGAAUAAAGAAUCUGUAAGGUUACCUGAGGAGAACACAUUUGUAUGACUCGUGUUCGGUGUAAUUUCAUUGGAACUUGACCGAAACUUCAGCAAAAGUUUCAGCCAUCAUUGCAGAAACUAAAGCAGGAAGUGGAAAGUGAAGCAGGAAGCAGAUACAAAAUCAACCCACGCGUAGGUCGGCACAGCCACUACAAAUUAGGCUUUAGUCUGGGAUUCUGCUAGCACUUCAGCUAACCCGUCGCCCAGAUCUCGACAAACCAGAACAAAGACAAGCUGGAAAUGCUGGCUUGCAAAUAUCUGGCCACUCUUGCCACAUUCUGGCCACACUUGUGUGAGAGACCGUCCUCAGUUGCAGCAACAUUGUAAAUAAGAAGCCGUCUGCUCUCCUCUUGGACAAUGACAAUUAGCUAGUUUGUCUUAGUAGCUGCUGAAAGAGAAGGAACAGGGCUACAUUAAUGUGGAUGAAUGUUUGUUUAAAAAAAGAGACAAAAAGUUGUUAAGUUCUUUCAAGUUGUUUUGUUGAAACUGUUGAAGGUGUUUAAUUAACAUGUUAGCAUUUGUGUAUAUAUAUAUUCCCUUCUUUCUUGAGUCUGUUUGCUCCAGCUAAAUGAGUAUGAAUCGUGGAAUAUCGAAUAAUCGUGAAUUAUCAAUAUUUAAUUUUGAUUAAUCUGACUUCAUCCACAGCAACCCUGUGCUUAAUCUGAAUAAAAUUUUUAAUCGCUUGGCAGCACUAAUAUAUAUAUAAAGGGUCAUCUCAUUGAGAACAGAUAGAUGUGGGGAACUGGUGCAGUCUGACAGAUUCAGAACACAUCUCACACGGCACACUCCUUCAAGAGGCUCUGAAGCAGGAGAAAAAUACAAAUAAAUUAUACAUCAUUCUUUAAAAAGCUUCUCAGGUUCUCUUUUUGAAACAUACUUCUUAAGUGCACAGGAUCCAGAGGUUCGCCUGGUGGAAGAAAUCCACUCAGGAGACUGUUGUCAUGGCUACUGAAGAUUUUUUUUUGGAGCAUUUACAUGCAGCUUCUUCUGGUACUCUUCCCUCAGAUGCUUAUUAUGCUUCUUUUGGUAAAAGUGGGUCAACAAUGGAAAAAAAAGAGAGAGCUAAAAACGAGAGUGACUGAGUGACCAAGCUCAAUCGCUUCAAUCCUCUGGAGGGACAUUAUUAAUUAUUAAAUCAGUUUGUUGUCAACUGAAUGAAAAUAAAAUUAAUUCUUAAAUCUG